rnacentral:pre_miRNA from 1 species
AUGUUACUUUAACCGUCCGAAAAUACUUGUCAUAGGAAUGGAUGUAUCUAGAUGUAUUUUAGUUCUAGAUACAUCCAUUUUUAUACAUUUUGCGACAAGUAAUUCCGGACGGAGGGAGUAUGUU